rnacentral:rRNA from 1 species
UACGUAGGGUGCAAGCGUUGUCCGGAAUUAUUGGGCGUAAAGAGCUCGUAGGCGGUUCGUCGCGUCGGCUGUGAAAUCCCGGAGCUCAACUCCGGGUCUGCAGUCGAUACGGGCGGACUUGAGUACUGCAGGGGAGACUGGAAUUCCUGGUGUAGCGGUGAAAUGCGCAGAUAUCAGGAGGAACACCGGUGGUGUAGACGCUUUCUGGACCGUAACUGACGCUGAGGCACGAAAGCGUGGGUAGCAAACAGG